UUGCGUCAGGGAUAGUAACGGAAACCCCACAGUGAGGUACGAGCGAGGAGUUGAAGUGGAUAGCCCGCCCGGAC
rnacentral:misc_RNA from 1 species